rnacentral:rRNA from 1 species
CACGUAGUUAGCCGGUGCUUAUUCUUCAGGUACCGUCAUUACUUCGGGGUAUUAGCCCAAAGCGUUUCUUCCCUGACAAAAGCGGUUUACAACCCGAAGGCCUUCUUCCCGCACGCGGCAUGGCUGGAUCAGGCUUGCGCCCAUUGUCCAAAAUUCCCCACUGCUGCCUCCCGUAGGAGUCUGGGCCGUGUCUCAGUCCCAGUGUGGCUGGUCGUCCUCUCAGACCAGCUACAGAUCGUAGGCUUGGUAGGCCUUUACCCCACCAACUACCUAAUCUGACAUCGGCCGCUCCAAUAGCGCGAGGUCUUGCGAUCCCCCGCUUUCACCCUUAGGUCGUAUGCGGCAUUAAUCCGGCUUUCGCCGGGCUAUCCCCCACUACUGGGCACGUUCCGAUGUAUUACUCACCCGUUCGCCACUCGUCAGCUUAACCUGUUACCGUUCGACUUGCAUGUGUAAGGCAUGCCGCCAGCGUUCAAUCUGAGCCAGGAUCAAACUC